ACCUGCCUCAUGGAUAUAAUACCCAGGACUUGCGAAAGGACGCACUGCUGUGUGUACUAUAGGGUCUGUCUGAUGUCGGGCAGACUCUGUUUUUUUAU
rnacentral:sRNA from 1 species